GGGACCCAGCAGGACUUCCCAAGAGUCAGAAAGGUGCUCAGGGGUGGCAAUGGCAGUUCCCACAAGGUCCAGCCUUGCUGUCCCUACAGCGCUGCUACCAGAGCUCCCCAGAAGGGGGCUGAGAUGUGGGGAAGAGGGGCGCUGUUGCUAAGGAACAAGAGGCUGUGUCCCUGGAGGGCCUGGAGGAGGCCCUGACGCUGCUCGCACCGGGGAUACCGGAGACAGAAAAGGAGAUGUUGAGAGUGGGAAUAAGAACCCAAGUCCUGGAAGGUGAGAAUGGAAUCUGCCGCCCCAUUUGUUCAAUGACUUCCUGUCUUCAUCCUGUGAAGUUCACGAGAGGCACCGAGGAGUUUUGGAGAAGAGAAGUGCCAAAAGACUGGAGGUGGAGAUAGGCCGUUCCAAUCUUUAAGAAGGGGGAAAGAAGCUGGGCGCGUUGGCCUACAACUGUAAUCCCAGCGACUUGGGAGGCUGAGGGGGAAGGACUGCUUCCCUGCAGAUGCCCACAGACCUUGUCACCUCCUUCAAGUCAUAGCUACAAUAUUGCCUGUCAACGAAGUCUCUCCUGAUCACUCUCCUUUUUUUGUGGUGCUGGGGAUCAAACCCAGGGCCUCAUCCAUGCUAAGACAAGCGCUGUGCACUGAGCUGUGCCCUCAGACCUGAGGKCCCUCCUUAGAACUGCAACCUAUUCCGUACUCCUUUUCUCUACCCUCAUGCCCCUUAUCCUGCUCUUCUCUUUUYCCAAAGCACUUGAUACCUCUCCCAUACUCAAGCAUCUGUCUUUCUCUGCUCCACGAAGCUCUGACCUAUGUCUGUUCUGCUCACCAAUAAGUCCUGAGGGCCUGGGACAGUGCCUGGCUAAUACAGGAGACUUCACAAAUAUUUGUUGAAGGAUUAAAAUUUUUAAAAAUACUUGCUGCUGGCAAGGGUGUGGUAAGACUGACGCUUUGGUCCCUCGUAGUGGGAUUAUAAAUUGAAGCCAUCCAUUUUUUAAAUAAACUUUGUUGUAAUUUUAG